rnacentral:rRNA from 1 species
AGCGAACGCUGGCGGCAGGCCUAACACAUGCAAGUCGAACGAACUCUUCGGAGUUAGUGGCGGACGGGUGAGUAACACGUGGGAACGUGCCCUUUGGUACGGAAUAACUCAGGGAAACUUGAGCUAAUACCGUAUGUGCCCUUCGGGGGAAAGAUUUAUCGCCAUUGGAGCGGCCCGCGUCUGAUUAGCUAGUUGGUGAGGUAAUGGCUCACCAAGGCUACGAUCAGUAGCUGGUCUGAGAGGAUGAUCAGCCACAUUGGGACUGAGACACGGCCCAAACUCCUACGGGAGGCAGCAGUGGGGAAUCUUGCGCAAUGGGCGAAAGCCUGACGCAGCCAUGCCGCGUGAAUGAUGAAGGUCUUAGGAUUGUAAAAUUCUUUCACCGGGGACGAUAAUGACGGUACCCGGAGAAGAAGCCCCGGCUAACUUCGUG